UACGUAGGUGACAAGCGUUGUCCGGAUUUACUGGGCGUAAAGAGCGCGCAGGCGGUCGUUCAAGUCGAGUGUGAAAGCCCCCGGCUCAACUGGGGAGGGUCAUUCGAUACUGAUCGACUCGAAGGCAGGAGAGGGUAGUGGAAUUCCCGGUGUAGUGGUGAAAUGCGUAGAUAUUGGGAGGAACACCAGUGGCGAAGGCAGGUCACUGGGCCGCAACUGACGCUGAGGAGCGAAAGCAUGGGGAGCGAACGAGG
rnacentral:rRNA from 1 species